UACGUAGGGGGCAAGCGUUGUCCGGAUUUAUUGGGCGUAAAGAGCGUGUAGGCGGCUUUACAGGUCCGUUGUGAAAACUCGAGGCUCAACCUCGAGACGCCGGUGGAAACCGUAAAGCUAGAGUCCGGAAGAGGAGUGUGGAAUUCCUGGUGUAGCGGUGAAAUGCGCAGAUAUCAGGAGGAACACCAAUGGCGAAGGCAGCACUCUGGGACGUGACUGACGCUGAGACGCGAAAGCGUGGGGAGCAAACAGG
rnacentral:rRNA from 1 species